AAAAUGUUGUCAUCUACCUGCGACAUCGGCGGCCUGAAAUCGAUUCGAGUAAGAGUGUUUGAACUGGGUUUUUUUGUGGGAUUUAUCUGAUGAUAAGAUUGGAAUACUACUAUUCAAAUUUCUCCAGAUAAGUUCUUGAAUCCCACACACUUGUUUCAUAUGAAUCAGACAUGUAUCUUCCUGAAUUUUGAUGUUUAUAAGUUGAUCAAUUAAUUUGCAGGUUCAUUGGUUUGAUAUGUAGAGGUUAAAUGGUUACAUAUUACACGGGUCGGGAGCUUUAUCAAUUAGACAAUUUUUUAUACAUGUUAUAGCUUGUCUUCGUUUGGUUGGAGGAGAUUCUUCAAAAUUCACUUGCUCAUUGGAAUGAGCUUUAAAUAACUGGGAUUGUUGCAACACUGUAUUGCAGUAAGGGAGGAAUCUUCUUGGAGGUUGGUUAAAGAGGCACCAUUAUCAGGUUUCUCAUUUUGUGCAGAAGUUUUAAUCUGCCCAACUGAUACUACCUGACCCAAAACAUCUGGAAAAACGAACAUCUUCAGCAAGGAUGUUCUCAAAAGCAACAGGAUCAACAUAGAAAUCAUUUGAUAGUGAGGGACACCGAGUAAUGAUUGUGGAGUUCAUUAUGGACAUCUUGUAGGGAUGUUUAGUUGCUCUAAAUUUCCCAGAAGCUCUUGUCAGUUGGAGAUUUUCAAUGAUUCUCCAUUCUCCAAAUACAACCAAACGCUGAAACUUUGUCAAUUGUUGUUUCUUGAUGGUUGCAUGAAUCAGUGUCCCCUGUAUAGGAUUUCCAAAUAGAACGAAAUAUGUUAGUUAAUCGUUGGUUUAAAAGUAAACUUAUAAACAGAUGAAACGACUUACUUUGAUAUCAGCCAAUAUCAUCUCUAUUGUUUCGCCUGUAAA